UUGAACGCUGGCGGCAGGCCUAACACAUGCAAGUCGAACGGUAACAGGAAGAAGCUUGCUUCUUUGCUGACGAGUGGCGGACGGGUGAGUAAUGUCUGGGAAACUGCCUGAUGGAGGGGGAUAACUACUGGAAACGGUAGCUAAUACCGCAUAACGUCGCAAGACCAAAGAGGGGGACCUUCGGGCCUCUUGCCAUCGGAUGUGCCCAGAUGGGAUUAGCUUGUUGGUGGGGUAACGGCUCACCAAGGCGACGAUCCCUAGCUGGUCUGAGAGGAUGACCAGCCACACUGGAACUGAGACACGGUCCAGACUCCUACGGGAGGCAGCAGUGGGGAAUAUUGCACAAUGGGCGCAAGCCUGAUGCAGCCAUGCCGCGUGUAUGAAGAAGGCCUUCGGGUUGUAAAGUACUUUCAGCGGGGAGGAAGGGAGUAAAGUUAAUACCUUUGCUCAUUGACGUUACCCGCAGAAGAAGCACCGGCUAACUCCGUGCCAGCAGCCGCGGUAAUACGGAGGGUGCAAGCGUUAAUCGGAAUUACUGGGCGUAAAGCGCACGCAGGCGGUUUGUUAAGUCAGAUGUGAAAUCCCCGGGCUCAACCUGGGAACUGCAUCUGAUACUGGCAAGCUUGAGUCUCGUAGAGGGGGGUAGAAUUCCAGGUGUAGCGGUGAAAUGCGUAGAGAUCUGGAGGAAUACCGGUGGCGAAGGCGGCCCCCUGGACGAAGACUGACGCUCAGGUGCGAAAGCGUGGGGAGCAAACAGUAUUAGAUACCCGGGUAGUCCACGCCGUAAACGAUGAAUACUAGGUGUUGGGGAGCACAGCUCUUCGGUGCCGCAGCAAACGCAAUAAGUAUUCCACCUGGGGAGUACGUUCGCAAGAAUGAAACUCAAAGGAAUUGACGGGGACCCGCACAAGCGGUGGAGCAUGUGGUUUAAUUCGAUGCAACGCGAAGAACCUUACCUGGUCUUGACAUCCACGGAAGUUUUCAGAGAUGAGAAUGUGCCUUCGGGAACCGUGAGACAGGUGCUGCAUGGCUGUCGUCAGCUCGUGUUGUGAAAUGUUGGGUUAAGUCCCGCAACGAGCGCAACCCUUAUCCUUUGUUGCCAGCGGUCCGGCCGGGAACUCAAAGGAGACUGCCAGUGAUAAACUGGAGGAAGGUGGGGAUGACGUCAAGUCAUCAUGGCCCUUACGACCAGGGCUACACACGUGCUACAAUGGCGCAUACAAAGAGAAGCGACCUCGCGAGAGCAAGCGGACCUCAUAAAGUGCGUCGUAGUCCGGAUUGGAGUCUGCAACUCGACUCCAUGAAGUCGGAAUCGCUAGUAAUCGUGGAUCAGAAUGCCACGGUGAAUACGUUCCCGGGCCUUGUACACACCGCCCGUCACACCAUGGGAGUGGGUUGCAAAAGAAGUAGGUAGCUUAACCUUCGGGAGGGCGCUUACCACUUUGUGAUUCAUGACUGGGGUG
rnacentral:rRNA from 1 species